AAAAAAAAAAAAUUUAUUAUAUAAUUAUUUCUGCCAACUUAUAAUUAUGCCUUUUAUUUAUUUAUUUAUUUUUGGAGAUAGGGAUCAUAGUUCACUGCAACUUUGAACUCCCAGGCUCAAGUGAUCCUCCUGCCUUCACCUCCUGAGUAGCUGGGACUACAGGCAUAUGCCUAUUUUUUUUUUAUUUUAGUAGAGAUUGAAUCUUGCUGUGUUGCCCAGGCUGGUCUCAAACUUUUGGGCCCAAGUGAUCCUCCCACGUUGGCCUCCCAAAGUGCUGGGAUUACAGGCAUGACCCCCACCCCGUGCCUGGCCUAUGCUUUUUGGAAGAUUAGCAUCUUCCAUUUUUCACUGUGACUCAUUAACCAAUGUCAGAAACUACUUUUUGUGAAAAACACUAUCGUGGGCCCAUUUUCCUGCCUUUGUAGUAUAUAUUUACAAACGAGUUGGAAAGAUAAGCCUGCCAUAAGUAAAAUUGAGAGGUGAAGCUGGCUGGGCCUCUGGGUCGGGUGGGGACUUGGAGAACUUUUCUGUCUAGCUAAAGGAUUGUAAACACCAGUGGGCACUCUGUGUCUAGCUAAAGGUUUGUAAACGCACCAAUCAGCACUCUGUAAAAACGCACCAAUAAGUGCUUUAUGUCUAGCUAAAGGUUUGUAAAUGCACCAAUCAGCACUCUGUAAAAACAGACCGAUCAGCGCUCUGUAAAAUGGACCAAUCAGCAGGAUGUGGGUGGGGCCAAAUAAGGGAAUAAAAGCUGGCUAUCCUAGCCAGCGGCUGCAACCCACUCGGGUUCCCUUCCACCUUGUGGAAGCUUUGCAUUUUCGCUCUUGUCAGUAAGUCUUGCUGCUGCUCACUCUUUGGGUCUUUGGGUCAGCACUACUUUUAAGAGCUGUAACACUCACCGUGAGGGUCUGCAGCUUCACUCCUGAAGUCAGCGAGAGGAUGAACCCACUGGGAGGAAGAAACUCGGGACACAUCUGAACAUCUGAAGGAACAAACUCCGGAUGCACCAUCUUUAAGAACUGUAACACUCACCGCGAGGGUCUGCAGCUUCAUUCUUGAAGUCAGCGAGACAACCCACUGGAAGGAACCAAUUUGGGACACAAAAUUUCCUUGAGAAAGAGGAGUCAAAUCCAAAAAGGACAUUAGUUGAGACUCUGAAGACCAUCCCUAUUUUGGGAAAGCUCAAGAUGGGUGGCAGCAGGACCCUGGUUCCCAUUAAGGAGGCCUGAGUUUCCAGCUGCUCUGCUCCCAUUGCAGCAAGGCAAUGGACAUUUGAAUAAGGGAAUCAAGAACCCUGCACAGCACUCCUGUUCUGGGGCCCAGGACAUUGACUACAAAGAGUGAAGAUUUUAAGUGUUGAGGGACUAGAGACACUGUGAGUGAGAAAACCAGUUUUCUUUUGGAUAUUCAUCUGAAGCAUUCUUCUCCAGCUAGAGAGAAAACAAGAGGAGUAGAACAAACAAAAGACCAGGAUUCACAAAACCUUCCAUGUCCGAGUUACUAACCAACUGAUUGGAGGCCCCCACUCAUUCACUUAUUCAUUCAUUCUUCUAAGAACAGAUUUAUUAGUUAGCUAAUGCUGAAAGACAACAACCAUGGAAAUCUCAAUGUAUGUGGUGUGCUGACCUGGACAUAUUCUUCCCCUUGGCAUGGCAGAAGGACAAGAGAUCAAGUGGAAAUGUACAAGACCUGUAAAGGCUUGGAAUUAGCAGCACCUCACUUCUACCUUGACCAAAGAAGGUCACAUGGCCCACCCAAAGCCAAGGGUGGGGAAAUAGAGUCGAAUAAAGGAAGGGGUGAAUAUUUCCG
rnacentral:lncRNA from 10 species